rnacentral:rRNA from 1 species
AGAGUUUGAUCAUGGCUCAGAUUGAACGCUGGCGGAAUGCUUUACACAUGCAAGUCGAACGGCAGCAUAGGUGCUUGCACCUGAUGGCGAGUGGCGAACGGGUGAGUAAUACAUCGGAACGUGCCCAGUCGUGGGGGAUAACGUAGCGAAAGUUACGCUAAUACCGCAUACGAUCUACGGAUGAAAGCGGGGGACCGUAAGGCCUCGCGCGAUUGGAGCGGCCGAUGUUAGAUUAGGUAGUUGGUGAGGUAAAGGCUCACCAAGCCGACGAUCUAUAGCUGGUCUGAGAGGAUGAUCAGCCACACUGGGACUGAGACACGGCCCAGACUCCUACGGGAGGCAGCAGUGGGGAAUUUUGGACAAUGGGCGCAAGCCUGAUCCAGCCAUUCCGCGUGCAGGACGAAGGCCUUCGGGUUGUAAACUGCUUUUGUACAGAACGAAAAGCCUUGGGUUAAUACCCUGGGGUCAUGACGGUACUGUAAGAAUAAGCACCGGCUAACUACGUGCCAGCAGCCGCGGUAAU